UACGAGGGGGGCAAGCGUUGUUCGGAAUUAUUGGGCGUAAAGGGCUCGUAGGCGGUUUGGUAAGUCUUGUGUGAAAUCUACAGGCUCAACUUGUAGUCUGCACGAGAAACUGCCGGGCUUGAGUAUGGGAGAGGUGAGUGGAAUUCCUGGUGUAGCGGUGAAAUGCGUAGAUAUCAGGAGGAACACCUGUGGCGAAAGCGGCUCACUGGACCAUAACUGACGCUGAUGCACGAAAGCUAGGGGAGCAAACAGG
rnacentral:rRNA from 1 species